rnacentral:lncRNA from 1 species
AAAUUGUUUGUAAAAAAACAAUCAUUUAUAUAUAUUUUUAUUUAAAAAGGUGCAAAAAUAUUUAGAAUGAAGAAGGAGAUGGAGCAGGAGCAUCAACACCAUCUUCAGCAGCACCACUACUCUUCAACUUAUUGUUCUUGUUGCAUAGGUCUGGCAAGUAUGCUCCUACACAUAAAUAAAUGCAAAAAUGUCGAAAUAAUUAAGACGGUUAUAUAGAUUAAAAAAAAAGUGAUGCAUAUAUAUUUUCAGUCUAACAAAUUAUGCAUAUUUUGUAAUAUGCGUCAUUUAUUAGACAACAGAAGUAUAUAUAUGCAUCAUGUUUUUUUAAUGAGUGAUAUAUCUGAACUGAAUCGUAAAAUUGUUAGAUUUACCUUCAGCAACAGCCAAGUUGAAGUAGAGGUCAACAAUAUUGGGGCAUUGUUGAUAACAAGCAGGGGCACAUAAUUUGGAGACAAAUUGAGGCUCAAGCAAAUCAUCAGAUGAAAUUCCAAAGAAAUUUCUAUUAAGACCACAAGAUUCAAUACAUUCAUCUGUUUCAAUGUGUUCCUUCAUGUUUUGAACCAUAACUUCUGAUGUCUUGCAUUCAUAUUCACUACUAAUUAAGUCAU